AUGUACAUUCCUAUAGCAUAGCGUUAACGCACCAUAUCCCAUUAGAACUCCACCAUCAAGCGUGAUUGGGUUAGAGUAGUACUGGGAUGGGUGACCACCUAGGAAGUCCUAGUGUUUUACAUG
rfam:Picea glauca, whole genome shotgun sequence.